rnacentral:rRNA from 1 species
ACGAAGGUCCCAAGCGUUGUUCGGAAUCACUGGGCGUAAAGGGUGCGUAGGCGGUUUGGUAAGUCAGAUGUGAAAUCCCGGGGCUCAACCCCGGAACUGCAUCCGAUACUGCCAGACUUGAGGACUGGAGAGGUGACUGGAAUUCUCGGUGUAGCAGUGAAAUGCGUGGAUAUCGAGAGGAACACCAGUGGCGAAGGCGGCAUCCUGGACCGGCAUUGACGCUGAGGAGCGAAAGCCAGGGGAGCAAACGGGA